UAUGUCACACAUCCAGCUCUGACAGCUCUUAAACAGCCUUUAGUUAACAACACACUAAGCAAAGAUGCAUACCGUUAGGAGACCCGAACACAACGCCACUUCUCUGAAGCCCUCUGCUUUAUGUAACGUUCUGGUGUCCUUCUGUUCUCAAAGCCUGAUCUAGCCUACUUCAAUCCGGUGCGUAUGCAAAGAAGUUCUAUAAAGGAGCUCGUGCUGUUGCACGCGGUACUGGAGACGAUGGGCAGCGUGACUGUGAGGAGUGUCGAAGGGAUCCCCCCGGAG